AUUGAACGCUGGCGGCAGGCCUAACACAUGCAAGUCGAGCGAGCGGCGGACGGGUGCGUAAUGUAUGGGGACUGCCCGAUAGAGGGGGAUAACUACUGGAAACGGUAGCUAAUACCGCAUACUAUAGGAUAACCCAUAUGGGAUUAGCUAGUAGGUGAGGUAAUGGCUCACCUAGGCGACGAUCCCUAGCUGGUCUGAGAGGAUGACCCGCCACACGGGGACGGAGACACGGCCCAGACUCCUACGGAGGCAGCAGUGGGGAAUAUUGGACAAUGGGCGCAAGCCUGAUGCAGCCAUGCCGCGUGUAUGAAGAAGGCCCUAGGGUUGUAAAGUACUUUCAGUGGGGAGGCGUUACCGACAGAAGAAGCACCGGCUAACUCCGUGCCAGCAGCCGCGGUAAUUC
rnacentral:rRNA from 1 species